GUUCGAAGCUUAUUGGCUUGGUCCAGCAGCUCCUGCCGCUUUUCUCCCAGAAGCCUGCAGAGGAGCUUUCAGGACGCACUAACUUCCAAAGAACACAGAAAGCCAAAAGCCGAGGCGGGAGCCUGUGGGGAGCCGGCCAACCGAGGAAGCAUCACCUGAAGGGGUCUCCCACGGGACUUAGACAGAGCACAAUGUGCAGGUUGUUCCGCACGCGCUCGAUGAGGAAGGAUUCGUCAGCUAUCUGGGUGUCCACGAAAAGGAAAGACGUGGUCUGGAGUUCUACCCCUGCCUGUCGAUACAAGCGCUUGAUAUCUGGCCAAACAAGUGAAGGGCGAAGGAAAAGACUUACUUGCGACUCCCCAUCCUGAGCCUCUCAGUUGGAGGACCCUCCCACAGCCAUAAGCACUCCCAGAACACAAAGGCCAGGGCCAGUAACUCAAGCAGCUUAUCUUUCAUCCUGAAACCUCUGCGCAUGGUCAGGAACCCAGCCUUACCGUCUCGGAACUCCUGUUUGCGGUAGUGCUUGGUGACCUCGAUCUGGAACGUGUUAUAAUCGCAGAUGGAAGACGCCAAGCGGGCCAGACUCUGCCUCCCGCUGCCCCCGAUCCCCACCAGCAACAUGUUGCCUCGGGGCUGUCCGAUCACACGCACGAUCCGAGUGACUGGGGAGCGGGGUGAGGGUAACGCACUGGGUUUAUAAAUCCAAGCAAUUUCUAGGCCCCGGGCUAGGGAUCAAAACCUCUGAGGCUGAAUUAGAGAAGUCAAGAAGUAAGAGUGGAGAGGGUGGUGCCUAAGGCUCUGAUGGCAACUCAGCACUUAACCUACACCUUGCCCAUUUAACACUCUUGUGGAUAGGUGUGGUGCUGUAGGCCUGUAAUCUCAGGGAAAGGCAGAGGGUCACAAGUUUAAGACCGGUUUGCUUUAACCGGCGAUAUGCUUGCUGGCUAGGGCUACACAGCAAGACCCUGUCUCAAAACCAAAUGAAUAAAUAAAUAAGCCACACUGGUCGGA
rnacentral:lncRNA from 1 species